rnacentral:rRNA from 1 species
AGAGUUUGAUCCUGGCUCAGGAUGAACGCUGGCGGCGUGCUUAACACAUGCAAGUCGAACGAACCUUCGGGUUAGUGGCGGACGGGUGAGUAACGCGUGAGAAUCUGCCCUCAGGAGGGGGAUAACAGCUGGAAACGGCUGCUAAUACCCCAUAUGCCGCGAGGUGAAAUGAAUUUCGCCUGAGGAUGAGCCCGCGUCUGAUUAGCUAGUUGGUGAGGUAAGAGCUCACCAAGGCAUCGAUCAGUAGCUGGUCUGAGAGGAUGAUCAGCCACACUGGGACUGAGACACGGCCCAGACUCCUACGGGAGGCAGCAGUGGGGAAUUUUCCGCAAUGGGCGAAAGCCUGACGGAGCAACGCCGCGUGAGGGAUGAAGGCCUCUGGGCUGUAAACCUCUUUUAUCAAGGAAGAAGAUCUGACGGUACUUGAUGAAUAAGCCACGGCUAAUUCCGUGCCAGCAGCCGCGGUAAUACGGGAGUGGCAAGCGUUAUCCGGAAUUAUUGGGCGUAAAGCGUCCGCAGGCGGCCCUUCAAGUCUGCUGUUAAAAAGUGGAGCUUAACUCCAUCAUGGCAGUGGAAACUGUUGGGCUUGAGUGUGGUAGGGGCAGAGGGAAUUCCCGGUGUAGCGGUGAAAUGCGUAGAUAUCGGGAAGAACACCAGUGGCGAAGGCGCUCUGCUGGGCCAUCACUGACGCUCAUGGACGAAAGCCAGGGGAGCGAAAGGGAUUAGAUACCCCUGUAGUCCUGGCCGUAAACGAUGAACAAUAGGUGUCGGGGGAAUCGACCCCUCCGGUGUCGUAGCCAACGCGUUAAGUGUUCCGCCUGGGGAGUACGCACGCAAGUGUGAAACUCAAAGGAAUUGACGGGGGCCCGCACAAGCGGUGGAGUAUGUGGUUUAAUUCGAUGCAACGCGAAGAACCUUACCAGGGUUUGACAUCCUGCGAAUCUCUUGGAAACUUGAGAGUGCCUUCGGGAGCGCAGUGACAGGUGGUGCAUGGCUGUCGUCAGCUCGUGUCGUGAGAUGUUGGGUUAAGUCCCGCAACGAGCGCAACCCACGUCUUUAGUUGCCAGCAUUUAGUUGGGCACUCUAGAGAGACCGCCGGUGAUAAACCGGAGGAAGGUGUGGAUGACGUCAAGUCAUCAUGCCCCUUACAUCCUGGGCUACACACGUACUACAAUGCUACGGACAAAGGGCAGCAAGUUCGCGAGGACAAGCAAAUCCCAUAAACCGUGGCUCAGUUCAGAUCGUAGGCUGCAACUCGCCUACGUGAAGGAGGAAUCGCUAGUAAUCGCAGGUCAGCAUACUGCGGUGAAUACGUUCCCGGGCCUUGUACACACCGCCCGUCACACCAUGGAAGUUGGCCACGCCCGAAGCCGUUACUCCAACCCUUGUGGAGGAGGACGUCGAAGGUGGGGCUGAUGACUGGGGUGAAGUCGUAACAAGGUAGCCGUACCGGAAGGUGCGGCUGGAUCACCUCCUU